rnacentral:other from 1 species
CUGCGGCCAAAGCUCCCGACCCGGAGGCCGGCCCCAAAAAGCCCCGAGCGAGUAGGGGGCGGCGCGCAGGAAGGGAGGAGGGCCGGGGGCGUGGGGGAGUGGUGGUGGGUGUUCGGGGGGUGGGGAUG